CCUACGGGAGGCAGCAGUGGGGAAUCUUGGACAAUGGGGGAAACCCUGAUCCAGCCAUGCCGCGUGAGUGAAGAAGGCCUUCGGGUUGUAAAGCUCUUUUGUCAGGGACGAUAAUGACGGUACCUGAAGAAUAAGCCCCGGCAAACUUCGUGCCAGCAGCCGCGGUAAUACGAAGGGGGCUAGCGUUGUUCGGAUUUACUGGGCGUAAAGCGCACGUAGGUGGAUUGUUAAGUGAGAGGUGAAAUCCCAGGGCUCAACCCUGGAACUGCCUUUCAUACUGGCAAUCUUGAGUUCGGAAGAGGUGAGUGGAAUUCCAAGUGUAGAGGUGAAAUUCGUAGAUAUUUGGAAGAACACCGGUGGCGAAGGCGGCUCACUGGUCCGAUACUGACACUGAGGUNCGAAAGCGUGGGGAGCAAACAGGAUUAGAUACCCUGGUAGUCCACGCCGUAAACUAUGAGUGCUAGCCGUUGGGAAGCUUGCUUUUCAGUUGGCGCAGACUACGCAUAAGUACACUCCGCCGUCGGGUAGGUACGGUCGCGAGAAUUAAACUUAAACUAGUAAUUAGUACGGCGUGAGACGUCGCCGACGGACGACGACGAGGGAGUAGG
rnacentral:rRNA from 1 species